UCUCUUGUGGUCCAGUGGUUAGGACUCUGUGCUUCCACUGCAGGGGGCACAGGUUCGAUCCCUGUUCAGGGAA
rnacentral:tRNA from 1 species